GACGAAGGGGGCAAGCGUUGUUCGGAAUUACUGGGCGUAAAGGGCGCGUAGGCGGUUCUUUAAGUCAGGCGUGAAAGCCCUGGGCUCAACCUGGGAGUGGCGCUUGAUACUGGAGGACUAGAGAGUGGGAGAGGUUGGUGGAAUUCCCAGUGUAGAGGUGAAAUUCGUAGAUAUUGGGAAGAACAUCGGUGGCGAAGGCGGCCUGCUGGGCUGUUGCUGACGCUGAGGCGCGACAGCGUGGGGAGCAAACAGG
rnacentral:rRNA from 1 species